UUUUCUGGAGAGUUUGAUCCUGGCUCAGGAUGAACGCUGGCGGCGUGCCUAAUACAUGCAAGUCGAGCGAACGGACGAGAAGCUUGCUUCUCUGAUGUUAGCGGCGGACGGGUGAGUAACACGUGGAUAACCUACCUAUAAGACUGGGAUAACUUCGGGAAACCGUAGCUAAUACCGGAUAAUAUUUUGAACCGCAUGGUUCAAAAGUGAAAGACGGUCUUGCUGUCACUUAUAGAUGGAUCCGCGCUGCAUUAGCUAGUUGGUAAGGUAACGGCUUACCAAGGCAACGAUGCAUAGCCGACCUGAGAGGGUGAUCGGCCACACUGGAACUGAGACACGGUCCAGACUCCUACGGGAGGCAGCAGUAGGGAAUCUUCCGCAAUGGGCGAAAGCCUGACGGAGCAACGCCGCGUGAGUGAUGAAGGUCUUCGGAUCGUAAAACUCUGUUAUUAGGGAAGAACAUAUGUGUAAGUAACUGUGCACAUCUUGACGGUACCUAAUCAGAAAGCCACGGCUAACUACGUGCCAGCAGCCGCGGUAAUACGUAGGUGGCAAGCGUUAUCCGGAAUUAUUGGGCGUAAAGCGCGCGUAGGCGGUUUUUUAAGUCUGAUGUGAAAGCCCACGGCUCAACCGUGGAGGGUCAUUGGAAACUGGAAAACUUGAGUGCAGAAGAGGAAAGUGGAAUUCCAUGUGUAGCGGUGAAAUGCGCAGAGAUAUGGAGGAACACCAGUGGCGAAGGCGACUUUCUGGUCUGUAACUGACGCUGAUGUGCGAAAGCGUGGGGAUCAAACAGGAUUAGAUACCCUGGUAGUCCACGCCGUAAACGAUGAGUGCUAAGUGUUAGGGGGUUUCCCGCCCCUUAGUGCUGCAGCUAACGCAUUAAGCACUCCGCCUGGGGAGUACGACCGCAAGGUUGAAACUCAAAGGAAUUGACGGGGACCCGCACAAGCGGUGGAGCAUGUGGUUUAAUUCGAAGCAACGCGAAGAACCUUACCAAAUCUUGACAUCCUUUGACAACUCUAGAGAUAGAGCCUUCCCCUUCGGGGGACAAAGUGACAGGUGGUGCAUGGUUGUCGUCAGCUCGUGUCGUGAGAUGUUGGGUUAAGUCCCGCAACGAGCGCAACCCUUAAGCUUAGUUGCCAUCAUUAAGUUGGGCACUCUAAGUUGACUGCCGGUGACAAACCGGAGGAAGGUGGGGAUGACGUCAAAUCAUCAUGCCCCUUAUGAUUUGGGCUACACACGUGCUACAAUGGACAAUACAAAGGGCAGCGAAACCGCGAGGUCAAGCAAAUCCCAUAAAGUUGUUCUCAGUUCGGAUUGUAGUCUGCAACUCGACUACAUGAAGCUGGAAUCGCUAGUAAUCGUAGAUCAGCAUGCUACGGUGAAUACGUUCCCGGGUCUUGUACACACCGCCCGUCACACCACGAGAGUUUGUAACACCCGAAGCCGGUGGAGUAACCUUUUAGGAGCUAGCCGUCGAAGGUGGGACAAAUGAUUGGGGUGAAGUCGUAACAAGGUAGCCGUAUCGGAAGGUGCGGCUGGAUCACCUCCUUUCU
rnacentral:rRNA from 1 species